rnacentral:rRNA from 1 species
UCCAUACAGUAUAGGAUGGACCCGCGUCUGAUUAGCUAGUUGGUGAGGUAAAGGCUCACCAAGGCAAUGAUCAGUAGCCGACCUGAGAGGGUGAUCGGCCACAUUGGGACUGAGACACGGCCCAAACUCCUACGGGAGGCAGCAGUGGGGAAUAUUGCACAAUGGGGGAAACCCUGAUGCAGCGACGCCGCGUGAAGGAAGAAGGUUUUCGGAUCGUAAACUUCUAUCAGCAGGGAAGAUAAUGACGGUACCUGACUAAGAAGCCCCGGCUAACUACGUGCCAGCAGCCGCGGUAAUACGUAGGGGGCAAGCGUUAUCCGGAAUUACUGGGUGUAAAGGGUGCGUAGGCGGCAAUGCAAGUCAGAUGUGAAAGCCCGUUGCUCAACAACGGGACUGCAUUUGGAACUGUGUAGCUAGAGUGCAGGAGAGGUAAGUGGAAUUCCUAGUGUAGCGGUGAAAUGCGUAGAUAUUAGGAAGAACACCAGUGGCGAA